rnacentral:rRNA from 1 species
CUACCAUGGCGAUCACGGGUAACGGAGAAUUAGGGUUCGAUUCCGGAGAGGGAGCCUGAGAAACGGCUACCACAUCUACGGAAGGCAGCAGGCGCGUAAAUUACCCAAUCCUGACUCAGGGAGGUAGUGACAAGAAAUAACGGACCGGGGCUCCUCGUGGGCUUCGGGAUUGCAAUGAGCCGAAUUUACACCCCUUAGCGAGUAACGAUUGGAGGGCAAGUCUGGUGCCAGCAGCCGCGGUAAUUCCAGCUCCAAUAGCGUAUAUUAAAGUUGUUGCAGUUAAAAAGCUCGUAGUUGGAUUUCUGGAGGGGUGCCAAUGUCCGCCAAAACGCGUGCGCAGCGGCGCCCUUCCAUCCUUCUGUUAACGCCUCUUGGCAUUCACUUGCUGGUGGCGGGCUCAGAUAUUUUACCUUGAGAAAAUUAGAGUGUUUCAGGCAGGCUAGGCCGGAAUACAUUAGCAUGGAAUAAUGGAAUAGGACUACGGUCUCUUUGUUGGUUUGAGGGACUGCAGUAAUGAUUAAUAGGGAUAGUUGGGGGCAUUAGUAUUUAAUUGUCAGAGGUGGAAUUCUCAGAUUUGUUAAAGACUAACUUAUGCGAAAGCAUUUGCCAAGGAUGUUUUCAUUAAUCAA